rnacentral:rRNA from 1 species
UGGGAUGGUGGCCAAUUUUUAAAAAAUAGAAAUUGACUGAGGUUAACCAGAUCCGGGAGGAUAGGGUGGGGAUGAAGCUUCAAAUUAUUUAUGGUUCUCUUAUGGGACGUAUACUAUCACACCUGGCUACAAUGGUCCUUUACUCAAGGGUUGCGCAAAGCCGCGAAGGUGGAGCUAGUCCCCUAGUACCGAUCGUAGUCCGGAUCGCAGUCUGCGACUCGACUGCGUGAAGUCAGAAUCGCUAGUAAUCGUGAAUCAGAAUGUCACAGUGAAUACGUUGCCCGGGCUUUGUACACACCGCCCGUG